CCCGCUUCCCCGCCGGGGCUCCCCUCCGCAUGCCCCCCCGUGUGCAGCCCCGGCGCUUGCCUCCCAGCUCAACAAGAACAAAAAAAAAACAUGGAGUAAAACUAGAUCCUCCCAUCACAGUCAAGCCACGGAAUGCUGUGUGAGCCGUUGUGGACCCUUGAGGAGCAGCAAGUCCUGCGGGGCAGGGGCUUCUGUGCUCUCAUCAGUUACGCUGAAAAACGGGCCCUGUGGAUGGGUGAGCCACCCUCAAGGAAAAGUUUGAGAUGUCUGGACAGGGAACGGUUCACAAAACUGCUAUACAGCCUCUGCCUGGCUGCGCAGUCCGUGUCCUGCAAAGCCUCAGGGACAUGAAUGGAAAGGAGAAUAUACCUGGGAAAAUGAGAAGACUAACCAUAAAACAGGGGCAAGACCAAGAGCAUCUCUGUGUUCAGGUGAGUAAUGUGAUGAAUGUUUUUCAUCCCGCCACAUUUGUGAGACUAACGACUGUACACUUUGUUAAUGAACUGUACUAGGCAGUCAAGAGUAAAUUAUUUUCCAAAUGCCAGGUGGGUAUUCUAGCUGUGUUUCACACACACUGACUAGCGUAUUAGUAUUCUACAUAAGUUUGCUUUUAUUAGCUGAUUAAACAGACCUUCUGAAGGCUUAGCAUUGAAAGCAAUUAUAUUUACUCAGGCUGAAAAUGUAGUUACAUUGCUAUGUUAUUAAGAGUGCAAUAGCAGAAGUGCAUAUAAAUAUUCAACAUCUUCUGUAGUCUCCCAGUGUGUAAAUUGUGUCAUUAUUAUGUAUCACUACAUUAACAUUUAUACUGAAACUAUGCUGAACUUGCACUAAAACCAUGUGGUGAAGAUAUUUAACAUCUUGUCAAAAACAUAAAAAUGUUUUCUGGAAGGAAUCUGGAGUCUGGUCCAAUUUUUCUGUUCUUUGCAAAAUUAAAAACAAAAAGAUCACUGUAAUAGGAAAACAGCGGAAUUCCCCUUUUUUGUGUGCUGAAGAGAGGAGUAUAAACUAGAAAAAUGAAAAAAGGUUAAAAGAUGAUGUGUGGCAAUUACUGACCCAGUGUCCAGAACCACUGGUACACUUUUUUUUCUUAAGGGGGCUUAUGUAUCUUUAUGGAUGAAUUCUCAUUGAACUGAGACAUGAAUGCAACAAUUUUAAUAAUUAAGUAAGAAUUAUCUUAAGUUGUUUAACAACAACUAACAGAUACAAAAAAAUGUUACCCAAACCGCAGUUCCAUUUUUUUCUUUGACAUAUUAUUUGACGACACAUAGAACCAUACUUCAUUUUUUUCAUCAAAAGGAAAAUUAAUAGAGAAGGCUAGUAAGGUGC
rnacentral:lncRNA from 1 species